rnacentral:rRNA from 1 species
UACGGAGGGUGCAAGCGUUAAUCGGAAUUACUGGGCGUAAAGCGUGCGCAGGCGGUUUGUUAAGUCCGUUGUGAAAGCCCCGAGCUCAACUUGGGAAUUGCAGUGGAUACUGGCAGGCUGGAGUACGGUAGAGGAAGGUGGAAUUCCCGGUGUAGCAGUGAAAUGCGUAGAUAUCGGGAGGAACACCAGUGGCGAAGGCGGCCUUCUGGACCAGUACUGACGCUCAGGCGCGAAAGCUAGGGGAGCAAACAGG